rnacentral:rRNA from 1 species
ACGUGGCGGCGUGCUUACACAUGCAGUCGAACGAUGACGGUGGUGCUUGCACCGCCUGAUUAGUGGCGAACGGGUGAGUAACACGUGAGUAACCUGCCCUCCACUUCGGGAUAACCUCGGGAAAUCGUGGCUAAUACCGGAUAUGAGCACUCAUCGCAUGGUGGGUGCUGGAAAGAUUUAUCGGUGGGGGAUGGACUCGCGGCCUAUCAGUUUGUUGGUGAGGUGAUGGCUCACCAAGACGAUGACGGGUAGCCGGCCUGAGAGGGCGACCGGCCACACUGGGACUGAGACACGGCCCAGACUCCUACGGGAGGCAGCAGUGGGGAAUAUUGCACAAUGGGCGAAAGCCUGAUGCAGCGACGCCGCGUGGGGGAUGACGGCCUUCGGGUUGUAAACCCCUUUCAGUAGGGAAGAAGCGAGAGUGACGGUACCUGCAGAAGAAGCGCCGGCUAACUACGUGCCAGCAGCCGCGGUAAUACGUAGGGCGCAAGCGUUGUCCGGAAUUAUUGGGCGUAAAGAGCUUGUAGGUGGCUUGUCGCGUCUGCCGUGAAAACCCGAGGCUCAACCUCGGGCGUGCGGUGGGUACGGGCAGGCUAGAGUGUGGUAGGGGAGACUGGAACUCCUGGUGUAGCGGUGAAAUGCGCAGAUAUCAGGAAGAACACCGAUGGCGAAGGCAGGUCUCUGGGCCAUUACUGACACUGAGAAGCGAAAGCAUGGGUAGCGAACAGGAUUAGAUACCCUGGUAGUCCAUGCCGUAAACGUUGGGCACUAGGUGUGGGGGACAUUCCACGUUUUCCGCGCCGUAGCUAACGCAUUAAGUGCCCCGCCUGGGGAGUACGGCCGCAAGGCUAAAACUCAAAGGAAUUGACGGGGGCCCGCACAAGCGGCGGAGCAUGCUGAUUAAUUCGAUGCAACGCGAAGAACCUUACCAAGGCUUGACAUGCACUGGACGGCUGCAGAGAUGUGGCUUUCUUUGGACUGGUGCACAGGUGGUGCAUGGUUGUCGUCAGCUCGUGUCGUGAGAUGUUGGGUUAAGUCCCGCAACGAGCGCAACCCUCGUUCUAUGUUGCCAGCACGUGAUGGUGGGGACUCAUAGGAGACUGCCGGGGUC